AUUGACCUCAAAUCAGGAGACACACUUCUUC
rnacentral:rRNA from 1 species